AAACAGCUGUGCAGUGUUUACAGAAAGAAAAGAUUUCAGAUUCUAAUUAAAAUGAGAAAUGAAAAUAAUUGAAGAGGAUUUUCUUGAAGGUUGCAAGGUUGGUACAGUAGUUUGUAAUGAGGAAAUAGAUAUUAAUUGUUGUAAUGGUUGGGGACUCAGACGAGCAGUACGACACGGCCAACCUGAGGUUUGGGGAUACCUGUUGACACAGCCUAACCUGGAUGUAAAUAAAAUUAACCGGUUUGGUCUUUCCGCUCUACAUACAGCAGCCAGGUUUAAUGUCGAAGAUGCUGUUUUGGAUUUACUUAAUCAUCCAAAUAUAGAAUUAAACAACCUUACUGUAAAGGGAAGAACUGUGGAGCAGCUAGUUGGUGUAGCUGCUCCCUCCUGUAAACAACAUUUUAGAGAUGAUAUCCUUCAAGCACUCAAGGCCGAGCAACUUAACAGACUUAAUACUAGGAAAAAGAAACUUACCCUUAACUCAGUUGUUCAUCCUUCGAAAUUUUUGGAGAAACAAGCGAAAGAAAAGAUAAACAGACUUUUGGAGGACAUGCAUGAGCUGCAAAGAGUUGAGAUGGUUAAAUUUCAGGAGGUGAUGGAGGCCAACAGUAAAAAUUUUGAGGAUAGACAGGAUAGACACCUACAAGAGUUCCUAAACAAAAUUGAAGAAGAAAAGGCUUCGUACAUGUCAAAACAGGAAAGGGAUAUGCACUAUUUCCUGGCAGGAUUAGAACUCAAGAAGGUGGCUUUCCUUGACAUGCUGAAGGAGUCCAGGACAGAGUUCUAUCACGAGGAGCAUGUGCGCCUCAUCAAGUUUAAGAAAGAUCAAGAUCAUCAGAAGUCUAGGUUACAAAUAUCAGAUGACAUCAGACCUGUUCUCUUGAAUCAAAGCAUUCCAACUUCACCAAACUCUACAGUUCAGACAAAAGUUGAUCCGUUCAAAAAUAUCUCAGCAAUCAAGAUAAGUAAUCCAUUGCAUCAAUCUACGCCAAAUCUAACCGCAACUCGAAGAAAAUCUCAAGAAAAUAUGGCAAUGUUUUCAAGAAUCUUCUCAGGGUCCCAUGAAAACCUGAGACCCUCCCGUCAACCAACCCCUGAAACUCCAGACCCUCUGUUCUUUAGCAGGGCUAAAAAGUCCCAGUCUGUAGAGAAAAGUACAACUAUGACCCCUGCAGUACCUGAGAUAAGACAAGUGUACACCUCGAGACAGUUUCUCCAGGUGGAGUCGGAGGAUAGAAAACGUCCCGCAUCUCUCUCACCUACCCCAACUUCCCCUAAAGGUGCUAUCUUUCAGCGAUCCUAUUCAUCUGCGCAUCCCAGCAGAGUAGGUUCACCGUUCAAUGGAAUAUCAAAGACCCCAAUAGGUCAACCCGUUCUGCACAAAUCUUUAGAUGAAAGUUACUCUGUGAUGAACCAUCUUGAUGAUGUGAUAAGAAGCUUGCAACAAACCCCGUGGCCGGAAACUAGUUUGGAUAACUAUUCUUUAACCUAUCCACAGUGUAUGGGAGAUAUGCAGACUGGGGAUUCAGUCAAUCUCCAAUCUUUGCUCUUACAGCAGCAGCAAGAGGAGCAGCAGCAAAAACAGCAAGAGCUGCAAAAACAAGAGAGUCAACUUCAGCUUCUGCAACAGCAGCAUGAAUUACAGAUUCAUCAGCAGAAGUAUCAUGAACAGCAACAUCAGAUGCAGUCUAAACAACUGGAACAGAUCCGACAACAGCAGAUUCAGCAUGAUCAACAGCAGAUUUAUCACCUUCAGCAAAUGCAUCAUUUACAAGAACAUCAUCAGAACUAUCAACAACAGCAUCACACAGCUCAACAUCAUCAUCAACAUCGUUCUCAGGAACAACACAACAACAACAACAAUAACAGAUAUCAACAGCAAGUGUAUAAUCCAGAAACAGGGCAAAUAUACUUUCUACAAUUACAGAGCCAUGGAGCUGAAGAAUACCGACAUACAUUCACAACAACGCCCUCUCCUAUACCUUCUCUUGAACUUAUCAACAGCACUGAGCCUUCAUUUAUUAAUGGAGACAGGACUAGAAGAGAUGACAGAGCUAUUGGAUUUGUGAAACCUAUUCUAGCAAAACCUUCAGAUAACAUUUUUAAUUUAGAGCAGGGCCAAGGACGGAAUAUGACCCCUCGUCUUGUCAGAAAGCACAGUAAUGCAAUGGAAGUUGUGAGUAUUCACCUCAUCGUUGAUCUGUUCUCCUCAUAUCCAUAUUUUGUUUCUAAGAGAAGAGGAAGAGGAGCGGGUUAUGUCAGCAGAAGAUUCGGAAAUUAUGUCCAUCACUAACAGUGCGAUAGAAAGCUUAAAUAAAUCUGAUUCUUUCCGCAGUCUGGUCGGAGACGAUUUUAGAGAUGAAUAUCAGCAAACUCAUCCUGGUGAGAAAUUUAUGGAGCUUCCGGACGAAUACGCAACAGUACGCGCAGCAAUGGAUAAU
rnacentral:misc_RNA from 1 species